rnacentral:rRNA from 1 species
GACGAACGCUGGCGGCGUGCCUAAUACAUGCAAGUAGGACGCUGAGGGAGGAGCUUGCUUCUCCGGAUGAGUUGCGAACGGGUGAGUAACGCGUAGGUAACCUGCCUGGUAGCGGGGGAUAACUAUUGGAAACGAUAGCUAAUACCGCAUAAGAGUAGAUGUCGCAUGACAUUUGCUUAAAAGGUGCAACUGCACCACUACCAGAUGGACCUGCGUUGUAUUAGCUAGUUGGUGAGGUAACGGCUCACCAAGGCAACGAUACAUAGCCGACCUGAGAGGGUGAGCGGCCACACUGGGACUGAGACACGGCCCAGACUCCUACGGGAGGCAGAAGUAGGGAAUCUUCGGCAAUGGACGGAAGGCUGACCGAGCAACGCCGCGUGAGUGAAGAAGGUUGUCGGAUCGUAAAGCUCUGUUGUAAGAGAAGAACGAGUGUGAGAGUGGAAAGUUCACACUGUGACGGUAUCUUACCAGAAAGGGACGGCUAACUACGUG